UUUCGGAGAGGGAGCCUGAGAAACGGCUACCACAUCCAAGGAAGGCAGCAGGCACGCAAAUUACCCACUCCCGGCACGGGGAGGUAGUGACAAAAAAUAACGAUACGGGACUCAUAUGAGGCCCCGUAAUCGGAAUGAGUACACUUUAAAUCCUUUAACAAGGAUCCAUUGGAGGGCAAGUCUGGUGCCAGCAGCCGCGGUAAUUCCAGCUCCAAUAGCGUAUAUUAAAGUUGUUGCGGUUAAAAAGCUCGUAGUUGGUUCUGCGUGCUACGCUGUCGGUUCGCCGCCUGCCGGUGUAACUGGCAUGCCGUGGCAUGUCCUGUCGGUGGCGUUCGGGAGCCUUGUCUAGGUGAAACCUCCGAACCGAAAGGAACGGGCGGUUUUCAACCGGAGGCCUCCCCGUUCGCCUAUUCUAUCCUACCUAGGUGCUCUUCACCGAGUGUCGAGGUAGGCCGACACGUUUACUUUGAACAAAUUAGAGUGCUCAAAGCAGGCUGAAAUUUCUGCCUGAAUAGUGGUGCAUGGAAUAAUAAAACAGGACCUCGGUUCUAUUUUGUUGGUUCUUAGGAACACGAGGUAAUGAUCAAUACGGACAGGCGGGGGCAUUCGUAUUGCGACGUUAGAGGUGAAAUUCUUGGAUCGUCGCAAGACGCACAAGAGCGAAACAUUUGGCCAA
rnacentral:rRNA from 1 species